rnacentral:rRNA from 1 species
GAUGAACGCUGGCGGCGUGCCUAAUAAAUGCAAGUCGAGCGAACGGACGAGAAGCUUGCUUCUCUGAUGUUAGCGGCGGACGGGUGAGUAACACGUGGAUAACCUACCUAUAGGACUGGGAUAACUUCGGGAAACCGGAGCUAAUACCGGAUAAUAUUUUGAACCGCAUGGUUCAAAAGUGAAAGACGGUCUUGCUGUCACUUAUAGAUGGAUCCGCGCUGCAUUAGCUAGUUGGUAAGGUAACGGCUUACCAAGGCAACGAUGCAUAGCCGACCUGAGAGGGUGAUCGGCCACACUGGAACUGAGACACGGUCCAGACUCCUACGGGAGGCAGCAGUAGGGAAUCUUCCGCAAUGGGUGAAAGCCUGACGGAGCAACGCCGCGUGAGUGAUGAAGGUCUUCGGAUCGUAAAACUCUGUUAUUAGGGAAGAACAUAUGUGUAAGUAACUGUGCACAUCUUGACGGUACCUAAUCAGAAAGCCACGGCUAACUACGUG